ACUAAUAAGAUUAUCUUGAAUUUGUUGUUUAGCGCGUAUGCAUUUCUUAUACUCACGCUGAUCCUCCAAUGACGACAGUGUAAGGUAAAGCCCAAUGAAUUAGCAUCUUCAUAACAAGAAUCUGUCUUUCUUCCUCUAUAAUGGCGCACCAUUCAUUCGCAGGCAAGCAGGGGAAAGCAGGAAAAGGGGGACUAGACGGCACCGGCAGUAAGUGGCCAUCAUGCAGGUGCAUACACUGACAUUAUGCCUUGCCAUUUUACAUUCCAAGGAC
rnacentral:lncRNA from 1 species